CCUCACAUUCUAAAUCCUACAUUACAUCUAGUUUAAAUCCAGGGUAGAGAAUGUGUGGUUUCCCAUUUGGAUGAUCGUUUCUACAUGGGUAGAGGAAUUUAACGAUGAAGUCUCAUCUGAAGUGGCCCUAUAUCUGCAUCUACAUCUAUACCCUCUCUGUUGUACCAUAGAUCUUUCUAAAAUGAGUAAAGUCAGAAUAUAGCGUGAUAUAUGAAAUGCCAGAAGCUGAUCCUCACUGUCAAAGGUCAAGCGAGAGAAUGGACAACAUCUCAACAAAAUAAGUAAAUGGUUCCAGUAACAGAUAGAGAUGAAGUUCUAAAAAACCAUAACAUGCAGAGGUGAUAAUAAGAACUGGCAUGACUGGUUAUGAAAAUGUUUUAGGCUUGUGCACACUGAAAAAUGUCAGAUUCAACCCAGCAGGAGGAUUGUGAGAAGAGUCAACAUGGCCCUUCAAAACUGUUGGGUUGGGUCAGGUUGGAACUCGAAUGUUUUUUCAUGUCAGACUCCUCAAGCCCUUUCUGUGUACUUUCCUGUCCUCUCCUGUCAUCUUCCUCCUCCUCCUCCUCCUUACCUGGGACUGGUGAGGAAACCAGGAAACCAGGUUUCACAUCAUCCUCUUUGGCCAUAGCUGCACCCCUUAAAACAACAACACUACAAAUCCCAUAAUCCCCUAAGCCUCUUGAGGAUUGAAACCUAAUUCAAAGUUGGGGGGAAGAUUUAAAAUGAAGCUGCAAGACGAAUUGCCAGGAGGCUGAUUGCUGAGUGCACCCCAUGGGGGUAGCAAAGAUGGUGUGAAACCUGUUUUCUGGCCCCAAUCUCCUCCCAGGAAAGGAGCGGGAGGAGGAGAGGGCAGGCGAGAGCAGGAGAAGUCAAGGGAAGGGCAGCUUCUGUCUGACCAACAUGAAUGUUGGAAUUCUGAUGGAAUUCCACACUGACAGUGGGGAACUCAGUUGGAAGUUUCAACUGUUGCAGCUUCCUGCUGUCACUGUGGAACUCCAUCCGAUAAUGCUCGACAGAUGACAUAUCAAGUCUGACAUGCUUGUUGGGCCAUCACAACUGCAUAGCCCUAAAAUGUUCUGUCCAAUAUGAUUGCUUUAUUGCUUUUGCUGGGGAAAGAAAACAAUGUUUAUGAGUUUUAUAUGUCUAAGAUAGAGUUAAAAUAUAACAGAUGCAGCUUAUACAGGGCAUAUACUGGACAGAUUGAGUUCAUACCAGCAGAGAGGCUAUAAAUAAAGCUAGAUAGAAGCGCAAACCACCUA